CGUUUCUCUGUCGACCUGCAUCGCAGCGCCCGCUCGAUCUAAAAAAACAACCACCCCACCUCGCAUCGCAGGACCAGCCGCCUCCCUACGGCGCCCCUGGCCUCCCUGUCGCGCCCGCGGCCUCCCAGCCCCGCCAACGCCUUACCCCGCCCCGCCGCAACCUUUCCAACCACGCCUGCCCGCCCCGCCUGCCACCUCCUCUUGCCAUGCCGCAACCUUCUCCGGCCGCCCCAACCUGGCGACCACUGACCUCUCCCCUCAUCCGUGAAGACUGCUGGAGGCGGCCAUCCUCCAGGCUCUCAAACAGCCGGGGUCGGACAAGAAGGAGUAGAGAGCGGGAGAGGGGUGAAAAGAGCUAUAGAAGUCGGCGGCGCAGGCAAGGGGUCAAGCGGUGGGCGCAGAUGGUUCAGACCCAGGCUCUCAGCCAUUCGCCCCCUUCUCGUUCGCGGACGGCGAUGCAGGCACGGAGGCCCCGGCUUCUGCUUCCUCCCGUCACCACUACCCCACGCGGGGAGACGCUACUCUGCGCGCCCACCCUCACAUUUGGACAACAGGGGCAUGCCCCCCCUCGCCUCCCCACCCCGCCUGAAGGUGCCCAUCUACACCUAUCCCCUCUUCUCAGAUAGCUCCAAGGCUAUUGAUCAAUCUUCAGUGAUAAACAUGUGAUUCAAUAACAUUGGUAGAAAUGCAUUUUUUGUGAAAUCGCAUGUUUAUCGGAAAGACACCGCCAAGCAAGUUUUACUGGUCAUACCAUCUGAAGUACGUUGGUUGGGUGGUAUAUUUUGUGGGCGUGCCAUAAAGAUUAUACGGUAGAGAGAAAGAUUGUUUAAUUGUGUACUGUUGACAUGCUCAUGAAUGGGGGUGAUAUUCUUGUGGAUAGGGAUGACAACACUGAUUUUAGAGAGGAAGACAUCCAUUACGUCUUAGAGGAUUAUGUAUAUUGUCAAUGCAGAUCAUCAAUUGGUCAUACUGUUAUAACGACUGAAGGUAAUGAAAUUGCAGAUUUUUAAGCUGCAUUUUCAGCAUUGGCCCAAGAAUUGUGUGCAAAAGUUAUAUAAGGCAUGGUGUGAGACAGUGGCAGCUGGGAGGACCAUAGUUGAUUUUUAUUGUGAAUGAAAAUGAGAAUGAAUCUCUGUGUUCUAUUCCAUUGAUUGACGAUGAUAUUUAUACAGAGUGAAGAGGCACCAAUA